rnacentral:rRNA from 1 species
UUGACCUCGGAUCAGGUAGGGAUACCCGCUGAACUUAAGCAUAUCAAUAAGCGGAGGAAAAGAAACCAACCGGGAUUGCCUCAGUAACGGCGAGUGAAGCGGCAAGAGCUCAAAUUUGAAAUCUGGCCCCCUCCGGGGUCCGAGUUGUAAUUUGCAGAGGAUGCUUUGGGUGCGGCCCCCGUCUAAGUGCCCUGGAACGGGCCGUCAUAGAGGGUGAGAAUCCCGUCUGGGACGAGGUGUCCGUGCCCGUGUAAAGCUCCUUCGACGAGUCGAGUUGUUUGGGAAUGCAGCUCUAAAUGGGUGGUAAAUUUCAUCUAAAGCUAAAUACUGGCCGGAGACCGAUAGCGCACAAGUAGAGUGAUCGAAAGAUGAAAAGCACUUUGAAAAGAGAGUUAAACAGCACGUGAAAUUGUUGAAAGGGAAGCGCUUGCGACCAGACUCGCCUACGGGGUUCAGCCGGCAUUCGUGCCGGUGUACUUCCCCGUGGGCGGGCCAGCGUCGGUUUGGGCGGUCGGUCAAAGGCCUCCGGAAUGUAUCACCCCCCGGGGUGUCUUAUAGCCGGAGGUGCAAUGCGGCCAGCCUAGACCGAGGAACGCGCUUCGGCUCGGACGCUGGCAUAAUGGUCGUAAGCGACC